AGGAGGCAUUGUGGGUUCUCCUAUAAGUUGCUGUCUGAGCUGUUGGUUCUCCUGGAGAAGCUUUGGUCUUCACAUCGAGCAUUGCUUCCUGGCUCCGGAGGAGAAGACAUGUGUUGCUUGGUCUCCAAGAUGAACUCGUCACCCUGCUUCCUGGUGUACUGAAAAAUUCUCUGCCCUUAUUUCAGCUUGCCAACAGUUGACAUGAAGAAUCUUGAUAAAACUACAUAUGGUGAUUAAAUCUUAACUCAAAACUCUUCAGAGCCAUAUUCCCAUUUGUGUUUUUGUUGGACAGGGAAAAGCAGAGACUAUAUGAGAAAUGAGUUGUAUAAAAAUAGGAUCUUGCAUGUCAAUAGGCUUAUGUUUAAGAGUUCUCUGGGAAAACCAUUUUUUCCUUCUUUCACUUGGACCCAAGGUCAUCAUCAACUGGCAGACAGCUGAAGACAAAAGUCUAUUCAGUGCAUUCAUACCUUUCCAGAUGCUUCCUUGGAGGUUUCUGGGGCUGACAGCAAAUGCAUUUUAAAAUGUUUUAUAAAAGAGUCAUCAAAUAAAAAUCCUGGUGAGUCUGGUGGGACCUCUGAGAAUUAAGAGAUUUUAAUAUCCCUAAAAUAUUGCAAAAAAAAGUACUAUUUUAAAAUGUCUUUGUGACCUUUCUGGCUAAAUUAGAAAUGAAAAAUAAGAGACAAGCACAUUUUUUUUCUUAUUCAAGAGAAGCGGAAAAGUCUCAUUAAGAAACCCAGGAAACUAGGAUCAAAGAAAGAACAGAAGAGGAGGAAGGUGGAAACAUCAGAUACAAAGAUCGUGGAUGCUAAAGCUUAUUCUGUGAGCUCUUUGUGGAACAGGAGAUUUCAGUUUGUAUUACAGAAUCUUUACCCAAAUGUUGAUCCUCUGUCUUCACUCUGUAAAUUUAAACACUAUGUAUUUCCUUCAAAAUUAGUAAUCUUUAAGAAAGGAAAAUAGAGAAGCUGACCCCUCUCACUCCCUUCAAUAGAUACUGAAUCUAUUCAUGAUUAAAUUUGUGAAUAUGAAAAUAUACUAAUUUAGUAAUCAGCCACAGACAAAAGUCCUCCUGAUAGGUGGCUCAGAGGGUUUAUGUCUCUUGCCAGAUUUCUGACCUCUAGGAAGGUUUUCAUAACUCAUGCUAUUUUUGAAAGUCCCCAAGAUUUCAGCAAAUUGUUGUGUGUAUAGAUUCAAUAUAUUAUAAAUAUGGAUAUAUGUCCUUUAUAAUAUUGUAUUUAUUUAUGUGCGUAAAAUGAGGAAAGCAAUCAUGUUGAUACAUUGAGGUCUUACUGCAAUAUUUUAGGUGUUUCUUGAGUGCAAAGUAACUAUUUUAGUUAAAUUAAUUACAAAUAAAUAUUUCUAAAGGCAACAGCAAGACUAAGUAAACUUAGCAUUUGUGACAGAAUAGAAUAGGAAUAUAACAAAUUUGCUAAAGAAAUGAAAAUCAAUUGCAAGUUGGUUUGGUCGGAGUCAAGAAACUUAACAAGGAAGCUAGUAUAUAGAUACACACCUCCUAUAACUGCUACUGAUUUUCCACGUAAAUCUCCCCUGGUAUGUGGAUGGACAUGUUGAUAACAGGGAACAACCCCACUCUUAAGUUUUCUAGGAAAACCAGUACUAAUAAAACUCCUGGAAAUAGAAAUUAACACUGUCAUCUGCAUGUUGAUCAUACAACGAAAUGUAUAAAACAUGUUUCUUCAACAACCAUUCUACAAUGUAUUCUUUCAUUGCAAAACACUGCAGAACAGAUUGAGAGAGAAAAUAGAAAGAGAAAAGUACAGAUCAUAGGAAACCAGUGUGUUGAAAGUGACUCAGAAUCAUUCGUGUUCUAUUUUUAAAAUUAAGUAUCUUUCAUAAGAUCAUUUAUGUUCGAGUUUGCUUUGUUGUAUUAAUACCUCUGAGAUGAAUUAUUUGGGUCUGUAUUUCUGAUAUUUUUCUGUCAUAUGUUGCUUGCAGUGCAAAAAGAGGUGGCACAUAUACUUUACUAUUCCAAGAGGAAAACAGAUGUUACAAUUGGUGUGGCUGUGGUACGAUUAAAUACAUUGUAACUUUUUAAAAAAUCAAAAAUGUAUAUAAAUAUGCUUUAGAGUAUCCUUUUUAAAGAUGAAGUGUCAAAUCAAUGAGACUCGGUAGAAAUAGGAGAAGCAGAAAACAAAAAUAACCACACAUUUUCUUAGAAAAAAAUGGUUUUCAUUUUUGUCUUUAAAUCUUCCUGUGAUAUAAAUGAGGGUGCCGUACAUGAAAAUAUUCUGUUAUAUGUUUGGGAGUUGUUUAUGAUGGAUGACUUGAAGGUUUGGAUGUUUUAUGCCAGAGGAAUAAAUAGACCUGUUGCUAAAACUGUCUAAAUUUCAUAAAGAAAAUUGAUAUGGAAAAAGAAACAACAGUGAAUUUCUUCAAUGGUUCAAUAGUUUCACAUUCUUUUCUACUUGAGCUUAAUUUUUUUUUUCUUUUUGUGGUAUGUGAGGCAGAACCAGGAGCCAUUUUGUAAAAUAUUUAUGUUGCAAUGAAGAAAAUACUCAGUGUAGUAGCUUUUACUUUUCAAUCCUACAAAGAAAUCCAAGGAAAUCUUCAUUUGGUUUCCACUCUGAAGAUAUAAUUAUGGUCUCAAGGCCAGUCUUUGUACUCCUGAAUAUCUUACUGUGUAGUACAAGAUGUAAAAUGGCUAGGAUAGUUGCCAUCAUUCUGGACUGGAAGGUAGAAAAAUGCAUCUCAUAAUGAUUCUCCAAUUAGUAAAUAUUAGGGGGGGAAAUCACUUAAUUUUCUAUCUCACUUUACUUUGAAAAUGGGAAAUUUGUUGUAGAUGAUUUCCAGAAAAAUUCCUAGCUCUAACCAGAAGUCUGUAUGAAUCUGAAGGAAAAGAAAACAAACAAUGUUUGUAUUUGUGUCAGUCCGUCAUGAUGUAUUUGCUACUAAGUGGAGAACAGAAUUCUCAGAGAUUUUUCUCUUUAAUUUGCUUCUUCAAAUAUUUUAAUAUCUACAUUCAUUUUUAAAUAUUAAAUUUAUAUGAUCAUUGUGUUUAGGCUACUACUAUCUACUCUAUCAAAAAUGUCAGCUUCCAUGUGGGAAAAAAGCUGUGUAUUUUUAAAAAAAUUAUUUAGUGAAUUAAGUGAAACACUGUC